rnacentral:rRNA from 1 species
UACGUAGGGUGCGAGCGUUGUCCGGAAUUAUUGGGCGUAAAGAGCUUGUAGGCGGUUUGUCGCGUCUGCUGUGAAAACCUGAGGCUCAACCUCAGGCCUGCAGUCGAUACGGGCGGACUUGAGUACUGCAGGGGAGACUGGAAUUCCUGGUGUAGCGGUGAAAUGCGCAGAUAUCAGGAGGAACACCGGUGGCGAAGGCGGGUCUCUGGGCAGUAACUGACGUGGAGGAGCGAAAGCGUGGGGAGCAAACAGG